GGGCCACACGAGCGGCUCAGCUCCCUGCCUGGGCCCGGAGCAGAGUGGCGAGGGGAUUGUUGCAGCUGUCUUACUUUAACAAGUCUGAUGGAGGAGGCACUGAGACAGUAAGUGACUUUUUCCCCGUUUCCUUCAAAAGUCAGGUGUUAAAAAGCAAAGGAGUUCUUCCAGGACGGCCCGCUGUUUCUUCUGUCUCCCAGAGGAGGCGGUGGGCAUCCCCUUGGUCUGAGGGCAGCUCUGCUCUGCCUGCCUCACUUCUCCUUCCUCCCUACUCCCCGGCUUGCCAGAAAGCCCUGUCAUUCCUGCCAGGUCUUUGAGUCAACCCAUCAACCCUUGAGGUGCAGAGAACUGACUCCACUUCCUCACCAUGGCGAUGCUCUGGCUCCAGGUUAGGCGUCCAUGACGUCUGGUAAAGAUCUACCCAACCCUUGGGUUUGUAUGGCUUCCCUUGACGCUAACACACUAAGGGUAGGUCGUUAAAGUUCUUUCUAAGAAAUGCUUUUCUUCAGUGGUAAAGAGAAAAGAAGAGUUCCUUUAGGUUAAGGGUCCGGAUGGAGAGUGAAGGACGGGGAGGCCGCCGCUCUAAGGCACUGCACAGUGCUGGUGUCAGGGCUGCAGCAUCAGCUGCCCGCCGGGUGGGCCCUCCUGGCUGGCAGCACACUGCCUCCGGGGAGCCUCCAGGUAGAGGUGAGAGAGGGGCUGGGGGUGUGGUGGCCGGCGAGGUGACCCCCACCUGCUGUGCUCUGGGGUGGAGGGAACCACCAUCAGAGCAUUCCCAGGGCUGCUGGGGCAAGCCCAGGGCCAAGCCUGAGAGGCACAGCUCCUGGGACGCACGUGGCCCAUAGGAGAGCUCUACUGUCCAAUUCCUUAAGGCUUCUAGGAAAUGAAAUUUUUGAAUAGAAAUAAAACCAUGGCUUCCAAGCGACUUGUCGAGCAUUAUUGCUAAAUGUAUUGAAAUAUACUGAUCAUUGAUAGGCUGCCUUAAACUACCAACAGCACCUGGAUUCUGGAUUCUAGAACUCUCGUGAUUUAGUUUCCAUACAUGUGAAUAUAUUUCCGCCUCCUUAAAGUGUCAAGUUGUGAUAGUGUGUCAGUCCUCUUAUAUCUUGUGUGCUCUGUUGUAACCUGUGUGAAUGCAGGUAUCUUAGGGCUGUAAAUAGUCCUGAGAAUGGACUAAAGUCAUGGUACAAUUGGAAUCUAUCUCAGGACUUUUAAUUGAAUAAUUUGAUAUAGAUAUAAAAUAUGACUUCAUAUUUCUGUAGUCAUAUGUUACACACCAGUUCAAACAUAUGGAAGAACAAUUAUAAACUUCAUUAAUUAGAAUAGUGCUGUUUUCAAAAUAAUCAUUCGUUUUGGGUUGAAUUCUAUCCCCCCCAAAAAGAUGUAUUGAAGUAAUCUCUGGUACCUGUGAACGCAACCUCAUCUGGAAAUAGGGUCAUUGUAGACAUAGCUAGUUAAGAUGAGGCCAUAGUGGAGCUGGGCAGGCCUUUAAUCCAAUAUGACAGGUAUCCUUACAAGAAGAGAGAGAUACUGAGGUGGAGACAGGGAGAGGAUGGCCGCUUGACAAUGGAGGCAGAGAAUGGAGUGAAGCCUCUGCAAGCCAAGGAAUGCCAAGGCUGGCAGGCAGACACCAGGAGCCAUGAGAGGCCGUGAAGGAUUCCUCCAUGAGUUUCAGAGGGCACAUGGCAUGGCUUACACCUUGGUUUCAGCCUUCUGGCCUCCAGAAAUGUGAGAGAAAAAAUUCCUGCUGUUUUAAGCUGCCUAGUUUGUGGCACUUUGUUACAGAAGCCACAGGAAACAUACAAACCUCUAAGAAAGGGAUAUGAUUGUCUCCCAUUUCCCAGAUUUAUCUGAUCAUACAACCUCUUCAUUUUCUCCAGCAUAUCUUGAGGGCGUUUGGUCAACCCAGUGUGGCCACCCCUACCUCUUGGAUGGCCUUUCGUCUUCAUUUGAUUCCUACAUACCUCAAGAGCAGUGUGCUGGACAAACGACGACCCCCAAAGAUGUCCACAUCCCAGUCCUGGAAACUGUGACUACGUAGAUUACACGGCAAAGGAGAGAGAAGGUUACAGGUGGAAUUAAGGCUGAUAAUCUGUUGACUUUAAAAUAGGAAGAUAAAUGGUGUGCAAAUAUUUUUUCCCAGUUGGUGGGUUGUCUUUUCGUUUUUUUCGUGGUUUCCUUUGCUUUGCAGAAGCUUUUUAGUCUGAUGCAGUUCCAUUUGUUAACUUUUUCUUUUUUUCCCUUGCCUGAGUAGACAUGGUAUUCUAAAAGAUGUUGCUAAGAUCAAUGUUAAAGAGAGUACUGCCUAUAUUUUCUUCUAAGAGUUUUAUGGUUUCAGGUCUUACAUUCAAAUCUUUAAUCCAUUUAUCAGACAAAGGAUUGACCUCCAAAAUACAUAAAGAACUCAUACAAGUCAACAAAAAAAAGCCAAACAACCCAAUCAAAAAAUGGGCAGAGGAUAUGAACGGUCAUUUUUCCAAAGAAGAUAUACAGAUGGCUAAUAGACACAUGAAACAAUGUUAAACAUCACUAAUUAUUAGAGAAAUGCAAAUCAAAACUACAAUGAGAUAUCAGAAUGGCUAUAAUUACCAAGACAAAAAACAACAAAUACUGGAGAAGAUGUGGAGAAAAGCGAACCCUCAUACACUGCUGGUGGGAAUGCAAGCUGGUGCAGCCACUAUGUAAAACAGUAUGGAGAUUUCUCAAAAAAUUGACUAGAACUACCAUAUGAUCCAGCUAUCCCACUACUGGGUAUUUAUCCAAAGAACUUAAGAUCAAUGAUCCAGAGACUUUUGCGCCCUAUGUUCAUUGCAGCAUUAUUCACAAUAGCCAAGAUAUGGAAGCAACCCAAGUGCCCAUUGACUGAUGAAUGGAUAAAGAAGAUGCAUAUAUGUACAAUGGAAUACUACUAAGCUGUAAAAAAAAAGACAAAAUCAUCCCAUUUGCAACAACAUGGGUGGACCUUGAGGGUAUGAUGUUAAGCCAAAAAGCCAGACAGACAAAGACACAUACUGCAUGAUUUCACUCAUAUGUGGAAGAUAACAAAUUCAUGGAUGAAGAGAACAGAUUAGUGGUUACCAGAGGGAAAGGAGGUUGGGGGUUGGGACAAAGGGAUAAAGGGGCACAUAUGUAUGGUGAUGGAUAAAAAUUAGACUACUGGGGGUAAGCAUGAUGAAGUGUAUUCAGAAACUGAUGAAAAAUAAUGUGCACCCGAAAUUACACAAUGUUAUAAACCGUCAUGAUCUCAACAAAAUUACUUGGAAAAAAAAUAGAGAGAUUAUCCAAGUGGGCCCAGCGUAAUCCCCAGGGUACGUAAAAGUGGAAAGGGGAUAAGAAGAGAGAGCCAGAGAGACAGCAAUGUGGGAAGGGCUCAGCCUGAAGAUGCUGGCUUUGAAGAGGAAGGAAUGGCCCACAAGCCAAGGAAUGCAAGUGGCUUUUAGAAGCUGGAAAAGGCAAGGAAAUGGAUUGUCCCCUAGCAUCUCCGGAAACAAAUGCAGCCUACUGACACCUUGAUCUUAGUACAGUGAGAUUCCUGUUGGACUUCUGAUGCCCAGCACGCGAGAAGUACUAGCUAUCAAAGAGACCUAACAAUAAUCCUAGUAAUUGUAUGAGAUGGAAUGAAUGGUUCGGAAAGUGCCUGAUUGAACAACGUAUGAGUAAGCUGGUGAUACAAGGGCUCAACAGAAGAGAGAAGAGGAUUAAAAACAGGCAUGCACAGGAAAAGAGAGAGGUGACAAAAGAAGCCACCUACACAGACUCUUCAGCUGGUCGUGAUGGUAAUCAAGCCUUAUGUGAACCCCAAGCCACUGGGGUUAGCAUCUUUAGAUAAACUCUUAUUGGAAUCCUGCAAAAAUUGACUUCUGUUAUUUAAAGUGGAUAUUUGAGUGCAAAAGAAGCAGAAGCAAAACCAAAGUUUCUAUAUUGGCAUAGAGCAUCCAAACCGUUACUAACGGAGCUUCUGAGGCUUCCUUCAUUCAGAUCAUCCCGCUACGUGGCCUGCUUGGAUUGAGAU
ensembl:lncRNA